rnacentral:lncRNA from 1 species
CAAGGUGACUGUGAACCAUAAAUGGAAUAAUGGAAGAUAAAAUGAUUUUAAGCUGCAACACAAUAUUCUGAUGAAAGAACGGUGAUGCUGGAGAGAUUAUUUUAGGUGCUGAGGCAUCGUACAAUUGUGUUAUCAAGAAUCAUGGAUUUCAGUAGAAAAUGCCUUGAGUAAGAAUUCAGCUGACAAGGUGGAAACCAGAGCAGGAAAGAUGAUGUGAAAGAACCAUAAGAAAACAGCACAUUUCUUCAAGG